GAAAGAUGGUUUCGGCUAUCGCUUACAGAUGGGCCCGCGGUGCAUUAGCUAGUUGGUAGGGUAAUGGCCUACCAAGGCAACGAUGCAUAGCCGACCUGAGAGGGUGAUCGGCCACACUGGGACUGAGACACGGCCCAGACUCCUACGGGAGGCAGCAGUAGGGAAUCUUCCGCAAUGGACGAAAGUCUGACGGAGCAACGCCGCGUGUAUGAAGAAGGUUUUCGGAUCGUAAAGUACUGUUGUUAGAGAAGAACAAGGAUAAGAGUAACUGCUUGUCCCUUGACGGUAUCUAACCAGAAAGCCACGGCUAACUACGUGCCAGCAGCCGCGGUAAUACGUAGGUGGCAAGCGUUGUCCGGAUUUAUUGGG
rnacentral:rRNA from 1 species